rnacentral:tRNA from 2 species
GGGUGCUUAGCUCAGUUGGUAGAGUGGCGCCCUUACAAGGCGUAGGUCGGGAGUUCGAGCCUCUCAGCACCCA